GACUCCGGAUCAGGUCCGACACCUAAUAAGCUUUAGGACUACCAGCGAGGAGAAUUUUACUAAGAAGAAAUAUGCUGCUAAACCACUGUGGGAGAAACUCAUCAAAGAGCUGGAACUGGAGGGAAAGGUGACCACAGCACAAAUUGGCAAAAAAUGGGAAAAUCUUAAAAAAAAUAUAAGAACACUUUGGAAGACGCCAGCACAUCGGCCUCAAGCUCUGCCUCACCAGCUGGAAGAGGAAGCUGGAAGCUUCAGGCAUCAGGUCCACUUUCCCCCCGAUCCCCCCAAAAAAAGAAAUUCUCUAUGCAGGACUUCCUUCAAGCUGAGGCCGCCAAAGAAGACAGAAGAUGUCAAAAGAAUGAAGAACACAUGGACAGGUUCCUGAACCUUUUAGAGAAAAUGGUGGACCAGACACCUCAUCAGCAGUAGCAGCACAUACACUGCAAAUUUUUUUUUUUGUACAUAUUUCUGUGCAAAUUUUUUUAUAUGGA